AUAAAUCUUCUGACCUUUGUAAAUAAUUGUGUUGUGCCUCAUAGUUAAGGGAAAGAAAACUUUACCAAUAAUUCUAUGCAUCAUAUAUACUAUUUGUUAUUUCCUUUUUUUCUUCCUUUGUCAUAGAGCUUUUGUGAAUAGUUUAUUAAAGUUAAUGACAUCCUUUGUUAUUAUAUUAAUUUUCUUUUAGUUAUAUAGUUUGGAUAGUCAAGAAAUGGAAAGUAGUAUAGUUGAUGCUUAAGUUGCUUCAAGAAAACAUUGAAGACAUGAAGAGGAGGAAGAAGAACUUGAACAAACAUUUUUCAUUAUUGUUAGUGUUACCACUAUGCUUUUGGGUGCAAUGACUUGGUAUCAUGACAAGUACUUUGUUAAGGAACCUCCCCAAAAUUUGGAAUUAAAAAAGCAUAGUUUCCUUAAUAGUUUAUACAGGGGAACAAAAACUGAUUGCAUUGAACAAUUAAGGGUCAGUAAAAAGACAUUUUUUAAGCUUUGUAGAAUUUUACAAGAGAAAGGGAAAUUGGUAAAAAUAAGAAAUGUUCCUAUAACUCAAGUUGUGGCAAUGUUUUUGCAUAUCCUUGCUCACAACCUAAAGUAUAGAGUUGUGCAAUUUAGUUAUUGUAGAUCCAUGCAAACAAUAAGUUGGCAAUUCAAGAAUGUCCUGCGAGGUAAAAUGAAAGUAAGCAAAGAAUAUUUGAAGUUCCACGACUAUAAUCUAGAGGGCUUGGUGGAAAACAAAUGGAGAUGAUUUAAGGUAAGUUUGUCAUUUGUUAGUAAUUAUAAGGUACUUUAAAUGAUUACAACUUAUUUUUUAUUUUGAAAUGUUUUUAGAAUUCAAUUGGAGCACUUGAUGGGAUACAUAUUCCAGUAACAGUUGUUGCAGAAGAUAGGCCUAGAUAUCGUAAUAGAAAAGGUGAUAUCUCUACAAAUGUUUUAGGAGUUUGUGGUCAAGAUUUAAGGUUUAUAUAUGUGUUGUCUGGGUGAGAAUGGUCAGCAGGAGAUUCUCGAGUAUUGCGAGAUGCUUUGUGUCGUCAAAACUAUCUCCAUAUUCCAAAUGGUAAUAUCAUGAAAUGAUGUUACUUUAUUUAACAUGUAAAAGAAAUAUGCAUGAUUUUUUAUACAUAAUAUUUUUUUAAACCAGUGUAGGUAAAUAUUUUCUUGUAGAUGCAGGGUAUACAAAUGGCCCUAGAUUUUUAGCACCUUAUCAAGGGACUAGAUAUCAUCUUAAUGAGUGGAUCAGAAACCCCCCUCAAAACUAAAAGGAGUUAUUUAAUCUUCGUCAUGCAAGUGCAAGGAAUGUUAUUGAAAGGUCAUUAGGGUAUUGAAGAAAAGAUGGAACAUAUUAAGAACUCCUUCUUUUUUUGAUACAAAAACACAAAAGAAUUAUUAAUGCUUGUUUCAUGCUACAUAAUUUCAUAAGAGAUGAACAACAAAGUGAUCAAAUUUUGGAAGCCCAAGACUUGGAACUUUUAUUUGUUGUUGACGAUGAGUUAACCAAUCAACAAAUGGAAAGAGUCACAAGUAAUAUCAGAGAUGAAGUCACAACUAUCCAAGCAAGUGAGGAAUGGACAAGAUUUUGUGACACUUUAGCAAUGAAUAUGUUUGCUACCUAUCAAAUAAGAAGAAACUUUGAUUAGGGAGAUGUUUUUAGUGGAUGCGGAUUUUGUUUCUUAUGUGCAAUUGACUCUAUACUCAUGUAUGUGUGAUACUUUGGAUUUUUGUAUUUCAUAAUACUUUGGAUUAUGUUUUCUUUUUAUGUGUAAUUAACUUACUUUUAUAGAAUGCUAAUUUGAUGUGUCUUACCUUUAUAUAUAUAUAUAUAGAUUAUUUUUUUUGUCUAGAGAAAUGGAAUCAAGAGAUGUGAAGAACAAGUCAAGUGGAAAAAGAAAGUUGUCUAGUGAGAACACAAGAAGUUACUUUGCAUGGGAUUUGGAAAUGGAGUGUGUGCUAGUUGAGGUGCUUAGAGAUCAUAGAAAUUUAGGCAAUAAAGAUGACGCAAAUUGGAAAGCAGUAGCAUACAAAUCAAAUUUUGUCCAAGCGUUUUGGAGUUCACCUCAUGGCAGAGAAUCAUUUUAAACUUUUGAGAACAUGGUAUGGAAUUGUGAGUGAUAUUCUUAGUCAAAGUGGAUUUGACUGAGAUAGCACAAAGUACAUGAUUACCGUUGAAAAUGAAAUUGCAUGGAAUGAAUAUGUUAAGUCACAUGAAGAGGCCAAACAAUUUCGAUUCAAAGUUAUUCCUAAUUGGGAUGAUAUUGUAGACCUAUGUACAAAGGAUAAAGCUACUAGACUUGGAGUAGAAAAUGCAUUAGAUACAUAUGAUAUCAUGAGCAAAGAAGCAACUGAAGACGAAGUAAUUCAUGGUGUGAGUAUUGACAUAGAGGGACCAAGUUCUACCACAAGAAAAACAUUCACCCAAGUAAGAGUGAAGAGAAAGAAGGGAUGAUUUCCUUAAUGAAAGAAGUAGCUGAGUCAUUGAAAGAAUUUGUUGAAGUGACUAAGAAGAAGAUGGAGAAUAAAAGAAGCUCAAGAAGUGGUACAUGAAGUGGUGAAUGAGCUAGAUAAUAUACCUAAUUUUAAUGGUGCACUUCGACAUAAAGCAAUCGAUUGGUUGACAAAAAAUCCCAUUAAGUUUGUGAUUACAAAAGCUCUUCCAUUGGAUGAGAAGGAGGAUUACAUCUCGUCUUUUAUGCAUUGAUGCCAAAUUAGAGAAAAGAUGUGAAGGUAAUCCUGUGCUACAACAAAGACAAUUAGAAAAUUUGGAAUUAUUUUGGAGAUUGGACUUAUUUUGUGACUAGAUUUUGCUUCAGUCCAAGUUUCUUUGUGUAAUUGUAUUAUUAGCCAAUGACUUCUGCAAAAAACAAGUUUUAUUUGUA